UACAGGGGGUGCAAACGUUGCUCGGAAUUAUUGGGCGUAAAGCGCACGUAGGCGGUUCGUUAUGUCAGAUGUGAAAGCCCUUGGCUCAACUGAGGAAGUGCAUCUGAAACUGGCGAGCUAGAGUAUGUAAGAGGGUCGCGGAAUUCCCGGUGUAGAGGCGAAAUUCGUAGAUAUCGGGAGGAACACCGGUGGCGAAGGCGGCGACCUGGGACAAUACUGACGCUGAGACGCGAAAGCGUGGGGAGCGAACAGG
rnacentral:rRNA from 1 species